GUCGUCCCUCUACAAAAAACAUAGCACUUUCCAACCACGGAUACAAUCAGACAAUCGUUGGAAAUAAACUUUUCCGACUAACCGUUUUCUCGCAUGAAAAUAGGAUUUUCGACGACAUUUUCCUACGAUUUUUCAACCAACUUGUUUUGUCGAAAAUGUGUAAAUAUUUCCGACUAAUUUCCGACAAAGAUUUUGUCCCUCGAAAUUUAGUCGGAAAUUUGUCGAUAUUUUUCCGACCACUAUUUUCGUCGGAAAAGGUGGUAAGAAAUUGAGUUGUUUUCUUGUAACCUUAUUCUUUUUUUUUUUUAUAUCAAGUUCUACCUUCUUCUUUGAUAGAAUUUGUAAACAGGAGAAGAAAAGAAUGACACCGAAAGAGGUAUUAAACCACAAUGGGCGUGUUCGUUUGGUCACCGCAGGCGGCUGCGGCGGCGGCAGCGGCAGCGGUAGCGGUGCGGCAGACGCAAUGCUUUUGAUCGCUGAAUCAAAUUGACGUUCAAAAUUAUUAACCUG
rnacentral:lncRNA from 1 species